UACGUAGGGGGGCAAGCGUUGUCCGGAUUUAUUGGGCGUAAAGAGCGUGUAGGCGGCCAUACAGGUCCGUUGUGAAAACUCGAGGCUCAACCUCGAGACGUCGAUGGAAACCGUAUGGCUAGAGUCCGGAAGAGGAGAGUGGAAUUCCUGGUGUAGCGGUGAAAUGCGCAGAUAUCAGGAGGAACACCGGUGGCGAAGGCGGGUCUCUGGGCCGAUACUGACGCUGAGGAGCGAAAGCGUGGGGAGCGAACAGG
rnacentral:rRNA from 1 species